rnacentral:lncRNA from 1 species
GGAUUAUUUGCUUCAUGUUUUUCUCCUAGCGGACCUCUUUGACAGAAUUUUACCUGACUUUGCCAAAGGUUUACUGAAAGUGCAUUGUUUUGAUGAAUUCUGAGGUAUCAGCUUUGGUUGCUCAUUUGCUCAGGCUCAGAUCCAUUCAGUCCUUCAUCUCUAGAAGACCCUCUCCUUUCCCUCCUCUACCCAGAUCAGAUGCCAUUUCAAGCAGGUCUGAGAAGGGACUGAAGAAGGUAAGGACUUCAGUCUCAAGUCAUAUGAAGCAAGAAAUAAGAAUAACUGGAAAUCGAGGACGAGAUGGAAUGCAGGCCGCUAAGGGAUUAUAACGGAGAAAGUACAACAUGUGCCAUAAAAGAUUACACACAUCCUGCCACACUCCGCAGAUGGCUGAUACAAAAAUCAGAGACAAUACUAAAAUAAUUAAAAAACUCACAAAAAUAAACCAGUGCAUUCAGCUCCUUUGUGAGGCUGU